rnacentral:rRNA from 1 species
CGGAGGGUGCGAGCGUUGUCCGGAAUCAUUGGGCGUAAAGGGCGCGUAGGUGGCCUGGUCAGCGUGCGGUGAAAGCUCGGGGCUCAACCCCGAGUCGGCCGUGCGAACUGCUGGGCUGGAGCACUGUAGAGGCAGGCGGAAUUCCGGGUGUAGCGGUGGAAUGCGUAGAGAUCCGGAAGAACACCGGUGGCGAAGGCGGCCUGCUGGGCAGUAGCUGACACUGAGGCGCGACAGCGUGGGGAGCAAACAGGAUUAGAUACCCUGGUAGUCCACGCCGUAAACGAUGGGCACUAGGCGCUUGGGGGAGCGACCCCCCGAGGGCCGGCGCUAACGCAUUAAGUGCCCGCCUGGGGAGUACGGCCGCAAGGCUG